rnacentral:rRNA from 1 species
GACGUAGGGUGCAAGCGUUGUCCGGAUUUAUUGGGCGUAAAGAGCUCGUAGGCGGCUUGUUGCGUCGACUGUGAAAACCCGCGGCUUAACCGCGGGCUUGCAGUUGAUACGGGCAGGCUAGAGUUCGGUAGGGGAGACUGGAAUUCCUGGUGUAGCGGUGAAAUGUGUAGAGAUCGGGAGGAACACCGGUGGCGAAGGCGGGUCUCUGGGCAAUUCCUGACGCUGAGGCGCGAAAGCGUGGGGAGCAAACGGG